UAGGGAAUCUUGCGCAAUGGGCGAAAGCCUGACGCAGCAACGCCGCGUGCGGGAUGACGGCCUUCGUGGUUGUAAACCGCUUUCAGCAGGGACGAAAAUGACGGUACCUGCAGAAGAAGUCCCGGCUAACUACGUGCCAGCAGCCGCGGUAAUACGUAGGGGACAAGCGUUGUCCGGAUUCAUUGGGCGUAAAGAGCUCGUAGGCGGUCCAGUAAGUUGGGUGUGAAAGCUCCGGGCUCAACCCGGAGAG
rnacentral:rRNA from 1 species